GACGAACGCUGGCGGCGUGCUUAACACAUGCAAGUCGAACGGAAAGGCCCUGCUCUUGUGGGGUGCUCGUGUGGCGAACGGGUGAGUAACACGUGAGUAACCUGCCCUUGACUUUGGGAUAACUUCAGGAAACUGGGGCUAAUACCGGAUAGGAGCUCCUGCUGCAUGGUGGGGGUUGGAAAGUUUCGGCGGUUGGGGAUGGACUGGCGGCUUAUCAGCUUGAUGGUGGGGUAGUGGCUUACCAAGGCUUUGACGGGUAGCCGGCCUGAGAGGGGGACCGGCCACAUUGGGACUGAGAUACGGCCCAGACUCCUACGGGAGGCAGCAGUGGGGAAUAUUGCAGAAUGGGCGGAAGCCUGAUGCAGCAACGCCGCGUGCGGGAUGACGGCCUUCGGGUGGUAAACCGCUUUCGCCUGUGACGAAGCGUGAGUGACGGUAAUGGGUAAAGAAGCACCGGCUAACUACGUG
rnacentral:rRNA from 1 species